UGAUUCAUCUUACCCUUAAUCCGCCCGGGGACUACAAGUAUUAACUUAAAACCCAAAGGACUUGGCGGUGCUUUAGACCCACCUAGAGGAGCCUGUUCUAGAACUGAUAACCCCCGUUAAACCUCACCCUCCCUUGUUAUUCCCGCCUAUAUACCGCCGUCGUCAGCUUACCCUUUGAGGGCAUCAAAGUGAGCAUAAUUGGCACACCCCAAAACGUCAGGUCGAGGUGUAGUACAUGGGAGGGGAAGAAAUGGGCUACAUUCGUCCACCGACGAACAACGAAUGAUCUAUUGAAAUAUAGACCUAAAGGAGGAUUUAGUAGUAAAAGGAAAACAGAGUGUUC
rnacentral:rRNA from 1 species